rnacentral:rRNA from 1 species
GACGAACGCUGGCGGCGUGCUUAACACAUGCAAGUCGAACGAUGAAAGCUGGAGCUUGCUCCGGCUGGAUUAGCGGCGAACGGGUGAGUAACACGUGAGCAAUCUGCCCUUGACUCUGGGAUAACUCCGAGAAAUCGGUGCUAGUACCGGAUAUGACCCUUGGCGGCAUCGCUGGGGGUGGAAAGUUUUUCGGUCAAGGAUGAGCUCGCGGCCUAUCAGCUUGUUGGUGAGGUAAUGGCUCACCAAGGCGACGACGGGUAGCCGGCCUGAGAGGGUGACCGGCCACACUGGGACUGAGACACGGCCCAGACUCCUACGGGAGGCAGCAGUGGGGAAUAUUGCACAAUGGGCGCAAGCCUGAUGCAGCAACGCCGCGUGGGGGAUGACGGCCUUCGGGUUGUAAACCUCUUUUAGCAGGGAAGAAGCGAAAGUGACGGUACCUGCAGAAAAAGCACCGGCUAACUACGUGCCAGCCGCCGCGGUAA